GACGAACGCUGGCGGCGUGCUUAACACAUGCAAGUCGAACGGUGAAGCGCCUUCCUUUUUGGUGGGUGUGGAUGAGUGGCGAACGGGUGAGUAACACGUGAAUAACCUGCCCCCUUCUUCUGGAUAACCGCAUGAAAGUGUGGCUAAUACGGGAUAUUCUGGGUCUGUCGCAUGAUGGGUCUGGGAAAGAUAUUGUUUCGGUGGGGGAUGGGCUCGCGGCCUAUCAGCUUGUUGGUGGGGUGAUGGCCUACCAAGGCGGUGACGGGUAGCCGGCCUGAGAGGGUGGACGGUCACACUGGGACUGAGACACGGCCCAGACUCCUACGGGAGGCAGCAGUGGGGAAUAUUGCACAAUGGGCGCAAGCCUGAUGCAGCGACGCCGUGUGAGGGAUGGAGGCCUUCGGGUUGUGAACCUCUUUCGCCAGUGAAGCAGGCCUGCCUCGUUUGUGGGUGGGUUGACGGUAGCUGGAUAAGAAGCGCCGGCUAACUACGUG
rnacentral:rRNA from 1 species